rnacentral:lncRNA from 11 species
UAGGCUGGUAAGUAAGUCAACAAAUGAUCGAUGUAAAUCAGAUACAAAGUACAAACUAAAGGCAUCAUUAAGAACAAGUAGGCUUCCCUUGGAACAUGGGAGGCUUCCUGUGUUCUGUAGAAAACCAUGAGGCCAAGUCAUGAGGCGACACUUCCCCACAUGAGACCUCAUCCAUGUGAUGAGAUCCUAAGACUUAGAAAGACAGCCAUGAAAGGGUGUGCAAUUCAGUCAAAAGGCAUCCUGUUUUUUAUUGGCUGAGAAACAGAGAGAGAUAAACUUCAACUCCCAUCAUGCUCCGAGAGGAACUUUUCAAUGGCCACCCUAUGCAAGGGCUGCUGGGAAAGCGAGUUCCCAGGCCCCCUCUAGAGGAGGAGGGAACUUUCCAAGAAAAAAAUGGACGGAGGCUGCUUUUGUGAGGAGAGAAAAACACACGGUAGAUCCCCAGACUACAGGGAAAACACAGUGGCAGUACACCUCUUCACUGUCAUCUCACUGCUGAAUAAAAUCCAUUCUGCUUGACACAAUGGUAAGACUUGAAUGCUAGUUGAAGCAUUGCUAGUGAAAUGCACAUCCUUUAAAUUUAGAGUA